UACGAAGGGGGCUAGCGUUGCUCGGAAUCACUGGGCGUAAAGCGCACGUAGGCGGCUUUCUACGUCAGGGGUGAAAUCCUGGAGCUCAACUCCAGAACUGCCUUUGAUACUGGAGAGCUUGAGUUCGGGAGAGGUGAGUGGAACUGCGAGUGUAGAGGUGAAAUUCGUAGAUAUUCGCAAGAACACCAGUGGCGAAGGCGGCUCACUGGCCCGAUACUGACGCUGAGGCGCGAAAGCCAGGGGAGCAAACGGG
rnacentral:rRNA from 1 species